rnacentral:lncRNA from 1 species
CUUAGGGCUAGGGUUUCGUAGAGAAUAUGAUGAGUUUAUUCUCUACCCAACUUUGUAGGGAUCGAGUCGGACUUGAUAAUAUCUGAAUUAAAUGAUAUUAUCUCUUUUUAUGAAGAUAAUAUCUAAAUUAAUGAUAUUAUCUUCUCUUUAUUAGGAUAAUAUCUAAAUUAAUGAUAUUAUCUUAUUAAAUAAAGAUAAUAUCAUAUUAAUUAAGAUAUUUAUCCCUAUUAAUUAAUUGAACCAGACUAUUAAUUAAUUGGCCAGAUAAACUGGUUCAAUUAAUUAAUUUAAG